GAUAGCUCCAGGAACCAGACCCAAGAGGCUCGAAUACCACAGAGAACAUACCAUAGAUGGAUACCAACAGAGAACAUACCAUAGAGGCGAUACCUACAGAGAACCAGACCAUAGAGGGAUACCAACAGAGAACCAGACCAUAGCGGGAUACCAACAGAGAACCAGACCAUAGAGGGAUACCUUCCGAGAACCAGACCAUAGAGGUGAUUACCUACAGAGAACCAGAACCAUAGAGGCUACCUUAAGACGAACCAGACCAUAGAGGAUAGCUAAAGAGAACCAGACCAUAGAGGGAUACCAAACAGAGAACCAGACCAUCGAGGGAUACUAAGCGAACAGACCAUAGAGGAUACAAACAGAGCACCCAGACCUAGCGGGAUACCUACAGAGCACCCAGCCCUAUAGAGGGCUACCAACAGAGAACCAGACCCAUAGAGGAUGGAUACUACAGAGAACCAGACAUAGAGGGAUACUACAGAGAACCCGACCAUAGAGGGAUACCUACAGAGAACCAGACCAUAGAAGUUGAUACCAACAGAGAACCAGACCAUAGGGGAUACCAACAGAGAACCAGGACCAUAGAGGGAUACCAACAGAGAAACCCGACCAUAGAGGAUACCUACAGAGAACCCAGACCAUAGAGGGAUCCAACAGAGAACCAGACCCUAGAGGGAUACCAACAGAGAACCAAGGACCAUCGAGGGAUACCUACAGAUGACCAGACCAUAGAGGAUACCAAACAGAGAACGACCAUAGAGGG
rnacentral:lncRNA from 1 species